AUUGAACGCUGGCGGCAGGCCUAACACAUGCAAGUCGAGCGAGCGGCGGACGGGUGAGUAAUGUCUGGGAAUCUGCCCGAUAGAGGGGGAUAACUACUGGAAACGGUAGCUAAUACCGCAUACCAUCAGAUGAACCCAUAUGGGAUUAGCUAGUAGGUGGGGUAAUGGCUCACCUAGGCGACGAUCCCUAGCUGGUCUGAGAGGAUGACCAGCCACACUGGAACUGAGACACGGGCCAGACUCCUACGGGAGGCAGCAGUGGGGAGUAUUGCACAAUGGGCGCAAGCCUGAUGCAGCCAUGCCGCGUGUAUGAAGAAGGCCUUCGGGUUGUAAAGUACUUUCAGCGGGGAGGCGUUACUCGCAGAAGAAGCACCGGCUAACUCCGUGCCAGCAGCCGCGGUAAUAC
rnacentral:rRNA from 1 species